CCUACGGGGGGCAGCAGUCGAGAAUUAUUCACAAUGGGGGAAACCCUGAUGGUGCGACGCCGCGUGGGGGAAUGAAGGUCUUCGGAUUGUAAACCCCUGUCAUGUGGGAGCAAAUUAAAAAGAUAGUACCACAAGAGGAAGAGACGGCUAACUCUGUGCCAGCAGCCGCGGUAAUACAGAGGUCUCAAGCGGUGUUCGGAAUCACUGGGCGUAAGGCGUGCGUAGGCUGUUUGGUAAGUCGUGUGUGAAAGGCGCGGGCUCAACCCGCGGACGGCACAUGAUACUGGGAGACUAGAGUAAUGGAGGGGGAACCGGAAUUCGCGGUGUAGCAGUGAAAUGCGUAGAUAUCGAGAGGAACACUCGUGGCGAAGGCGGGUUCCUGGACAUUAACUGACGCUGAGGCACGAAGGCCAGGGGAGCGAAAGGGAUUAGAUACCCGUGUAGUC
rnacentral:rRNA from 1 species